UACGUAGGGGGCAAGCGUUGUCCGGAUUUAUUGGGCGUAAAGAGCGUGUAGGCGGCCGUACAGGUCAGCUGUGAAAACUUGAGGCUCAACCUCGAGACGUCGGUUGAAACCGUACGACUAGAGUCCGGAAGAGGAGAGUGGAAUUCCCGGUGUAGCGGUGAAAUGCGCAGAUAUCGGGAAGAACACCCGUGGCGAAGGCGGCUCUCUGGGACGGUACUGACGCUGAGACGCGAAAGCGUGGGGAGCAAACAGG
rnacentral:rRNA from 1 species